UACGAAGGGGGCUAGCGUUGUUCGGAAUUAUUGGGCGUAAAGCGCACGUAGGCGGCCUUGUAAGUCUCACUGUGAAAGUCCGGGGCUCAACCCCGGGAUGCCAGGGGAUACUGCGAGGCUGGAGACAAGCAGAGGUUGGUAGAAUUCCGGGUGUAGCGGUGGAAUGCGUAGAGAUCCGGAGGAAUACCAGAGGCGAAGGCGGCCAACUGGGCUUGUUCUGACGCUGAGGUGCGAAAGCGUGGGGAGCGAACAGG
rnacentral:rRNA from 1 species